GAUGAACGCUGGCGGCGUGCCUAAUACAUGCAAGUAGAACGCUGAAGGCAGGAGCUUGCUCUUUCCGGAUGAGUUGCGCACGGGUGAGUAACGCGUAGGUAACCUGCCUGGCAGUGGGGGAUAACUAUUGGAAACGAUAGCUAAUACCGCAUAACAGUCGAUGUUGCAUGAUGUGUACUUAAAAGGUGCAAUUGCACCACUACCAGAUGGACCUGCGUUGUAUUGGGUAGUUGGUGAGGUAACGGCUCACCAAGGGGACGAUACAUAGCCGAAAUGAGAGGGUGGGCAGCCGCACUGGGAGGGGGACACGGCCCAGAGUGCUUCAGGGAGGAGCAAUAGGGCAACGUGAGGAAUGGGCGGAAAACAGUGCGAACAACGCGGCAGGCGGGUAGAAGGAUUUCGGGUCGUAAAGCACUGUUGUCAGGGAAGAACGAGUGUGCGAGUGGAAAGUACACACUGUGACGGUAACUGACCAGAAAGCAACGGCUAACUACGUG
rnacentral:rRNA from 1 species